rnacentral:sRNA from 1 species
GCAGGUGAAUGCAACGUCAAGCGAUGGGCGUUGUGCUCCAUAUUUGUAAGAUUUUUAAUUUUGAAUUACUGCAUAGCACAUUAAUUGUUACGAUGCCGGUGUUGAAUAGACACCGGCAUUU